AUAAAAGGGGAAUUAGGUCAAGUAAGUGACCUUUCAAGUUCUUCUCUCUCGCGAUGUAGCACGACGGCGCCGGAAGUCUCGGCUUCUCCGAUUCAUUUCUCCGGUGAAUUUGACGAUGCGCAGAAUCUUAUCUUCUCCGAUUCGAUUCUUUCUUCUCACCGAUCUCACUUCUUUCGACCUCCUCUGAGCUUUUGCGUUGACGUUAAUGGCACGGCGCCGUUGUUGGUUCGAAACAAAGAGCGAAGAUGAUGAUGAGAUACCGUUGUUGGUUGCGUGAAGAUGCCGUUUCAGAAACGACCGCGAACUGCCGAGUGAUGAAGCUUGGUGUGUGAAGACGGUGGUUGGCGAGUUAGAUGAAGAUGAUUGAGGUGUGAAGCACAGAGAUAGCGAAGAUGAGGAAGAACGGUUGGUGUUCGUGGAGACUUCUCUUGAUUCUCGUUUCUUAUCCCUCUGUAGUUCGAAGGUUGAACGGAUUUAUGAUGAAUGAUUCGAUGUUCUUUGAUUGAAGAUUGGAGAAAGUGAUAAAGAUAACGAAGGUGGCCGAGGAAGAUGAUCGAGGGCGAUUAGAGAGAGAAUUGAAGAAAGUUGAAGAAGGUUGAAGACGUGUGGUGAGGAAUGAAGGUCGAUGAAUGAAGAGAGUCAGAAGUGAAGAAGAGUGGAGAAUUGGUGAUGUUGCGGAGAGUGAUGAAUGAACAAAAAUGGUGGAGAGAAGAUGGUGAUGAAGUGAAGAGAGAGUGGAGAGAGCCCGAAGAAUGAAGAGGACCCCUGUUAUAUAGAGAUAGAGAAGCUUGAAUCUGAAGUUAAAAUGAGGUUGCAGGGAUCUUGGAAUAUAUUGAAGCAUGAAGAGGAGCAUAGUUUAGCAUAAGCUUUUCUUUUGGUGAAAAUAACUUAGACUUGAAUUCUGUAUAAAUGUGGGUGAGUUAUGAAUGGUGUAAUGUUUGAUUUAUAUGUAUAUGGGACCUUGUAUAUUUUUUGUAACAUGAAGGAUUUUGAAAUGGACAGUGGGUUUGUAA